GACGAACGCUGGCGGCGUGCUUAACACAUGCAAGUCGAACGGAAAGGCCCUGCUUUUGUGGGGUGCUCGAGUGGCGAACGGGUGAGUAACACGUGAGUAACCUGCCCUUGACUUUGGGAUAACUUCAGGAAACUGGGGCUAAUACCGGAUAGGAGCUCCUGCUGCAUGGUGGGGGUUGGAAAGUUUCGGCGGUUGGGGAUGGACUCGCGGCUUAUCAGCUUGUUGGUGGGGUAGUGGCUUACCAAGGCUUUGACGGGUAGCCGGCCUGAGAGGGUGACCGGCCACAUUGGGACUGAGAUACGGCCCAGACUCCUACGGGAGGCAGCAGUGGGGAAUAUUGCACAAUGGGCGGAAGCCUGAUGCAGCAACGCCGCGUGCGGGAUGACGGCCUUCGGGUUGUAAACCGCUUUCGGCAGGGAAGAAGCGAAAGUGACGGUACCUGCAGAAGAAGCACCGGCUAACUACGUG
rnacentral:rRNA from 1 species